rnacentral:lncRNA from 1 species
AGAGACAUAUGAAUCAUGGAUACAUUGGAAGGAGAUCCAGGAGAAGUUCCAGUAAAAUGGGCUAUACCGGGCCGGAUUGGGCCUAGGCCUGAAGAUAGCCCAAGGUUUCUCCCUAGGCUCGGGCUCUAUCAAUUCAAUAUUUUUUUGGUGCUGGGGGUCUGGCCCGUAAAAUUGAUUGGGCCUUAAUUUCCAGGCCCUACCUUCCCAUUUUUUUGGGUUGGAUCGUCGGGCUGUUGAGAUCGGCCUAG